rfam:Clostridium argentinense CDC 2741 T732.Contig249, whole genome shotgun sequence.
GGAACUUGUACACGUUGCGGAGCAACGUUAGUUAAAGA